rnacentral:rRNA from 1 species
UACGGAGGGUGCAAACGUUGCUCGGAAUCAUUGGGCGUAAAGCGCACGUAGGCGGCUCGCUAAGUCGGAUGUGAAAGCCCUGGGCUCAACCCAGGAAGUGCAUUCGAAACUGGCGAGCUUGAAUAUGGAAGAGGGUCGCGGAAUUCCCGGUGUAGAGGUGAAAUUCGUAGAUAUCGGGAGGAACACCAGUGGCGAAGGCGGCGACCUGGGCCAAUAUUGACGCUGAGGUGCGAAAGCGUGGGGAGCAAACAGG